rnacentral:rRNA from 1 species
UACGUAGGGGGCAAGCGUUGUCCGGAAUCAUUGGGCGUAAAGAGCGUGUAGGCGGUCCGGUAAGUCGGUUGUGAAAGUCCAGGGCUCAACCCUGGGAUGCCGACCGAUACUGUCGGACUAGAGUUCGGAAGAGGCGAGUGGAAUUCCUGGUGUAGCGGUGAAAUGCGCAGAUAUCAGGAGGAACACCGGUGGCGAAGGCGGAUCUCUGGGCCAUUACUGACACUGAGGAGCGAAAGCGUGGGGAGCGAACAGG